ACUAUUUUGGCAGAAAAAUGUAAUGGUUUUAGAAAUCAUUUAUAUAUAAUUAUUUAUAUAUUUAGUA
rnacentral:tRNA from 2 species